rnacentral:snoRNA from 1 species
UCGCAGGAGCCUCCCGGGCUAAUCUGAUAUUUAUUAAUUCAUGAAGAAUUAAGCCCCAAAGCUCCUGCUAAAUCGAUGCCAUUCGUGUUGCAGUUCUGUCUCUUUUUUAAUCCGGCUUAACUGUGUCAAAGCAAUGUCUAGAUUU